GUUAUCGUAGCUUAAAGGAAAGCAUGACACUGAAGAUGUCAAGACAGGCCCUCACAAAGACCUCGACAGCA
rnacentral:tRNA from 1 species